CUCGUGGGACCAUCAGGAUGAUAAGCUGCAUCUUCAUGUAGGCAUGUGUGAUGUCACCAACUCAGUUCCCAAGAGCCAGGCAGAUAACAUACACGUGUGAAGUCAGCUGGAUAGAAGGCAAAUUGGAGGCUGAAAAGGAUGAAGCUGAACUGGAGGGUUCAUACUCAGCCUAAGGUAACUCGACGUUGCAGUGAUGCGUGACCACACAGAGCAGCGGAGGCUGGAGCCAGCUCACGGGCUACAGAUACAUUUCUCGGGAGAAAUUGACAAUUACUCCCAAAGCUGAAAACUAAUCUGGAGCACAGGCGGUCGGGCUGCUGAGGAACUCAGAAGCAGAGCAGGAGAAACAGUCGCGUAUCAGUCCGAGGGAACCGGCUGUGGACCACAGGGGAAAGGCAGCUUCGCGUGAGAGCAGGAAGAGAGAGCACAUCCGGGUUAGCAGGGUCGGGAGACCAGGACUUGUGGGCAAACUGCAGUGUGUCUUUCUUUUCUUCUAAGUUCCUGACCAGCG
rnacentral:lncRNA from 1 species